CCUACGGGUGGCAGCAGUGGGGAAUAUUGGACAAUGGGGGGAACCCUGAUCCAGCGACGCCGCGUGAGUGAAGAAGUAUUUCGGUAUGUAAAGCUCUAUCAGCAGGGAAGAAAGAAAUGACGGUACCUGACUAAGAAGCCCCCUCUAACUACGUGCCAGCAGCCGCGGUAAUACGUAGGGGGCAGGCGUUAUCCGGAUUUACUGGGUGUAAAGGGAGCGUAGACGGCGAUGCAAGUCUGAUGUGAAAGGCUGGGGCCCAACCCCAGGAAUGCUUUGGAUACUGGAUGGCUGGAGUGCAGGGGAGGUAAGCGGAAUUCGUGGUGUAGCGGUGAAAUGCGUAGAUAUUAGGAGGAACACCAGUGGCGAAGGCGGCUUACUGGACUGCAACUGACGUUGAGGCUCGAAAGCGUGGGGAGCAAACAGGAUUAGAUACCCUAGUAGUC
rnacentral:rRNA from 1 species